UCAGAACUUGGACUCGAGUCAGGAGGAGUAGUUUAGUGCCACUCCUCCACACCCAGGCCACCUCGGGCCAGAAUUGCUUCGUGAAAGGUUUUAGAAAGAAUGUAUCUCAAACAACUCUCAAGAAAUUCCUCAGUAUCUAGACAGAGCAGACCACUUGACCAGCAUCCCAGCCAGGAAUCAAUAGAAGGAAAUAUGUCUAAACUGUUUCCCAUGAGGAGGUAUAGUCAUCAACGGUGACCGACUCAAUAUUGAC